rnacentral:rRNA from 1 species
GAUGAACGCUGGCGGCGCGCCUAACACAUGCAAGUCGAACGAUUAAAGCACCUUCGGGUGUGUAUAAAGUGGCGAACGGCUGAGUAACACGUGGGCAACCUGCCCCUUUCAUUGGGAUAGCCACGGGAAACCGUGGAUAAUACCGAAUACUUCGAGACUUCCGCAUGGAAGACUCGAGAAAGCUCCGGCGGAGAGGGAUGGGCCCGCGGCCUGUUAGCUUGUUGGUAGGGUAACGGCCUACCAAGGCAAUGAUGGGUAGCUGGGUUGAGAGACCGACCAGCCAGAUUGGGACUGAGACACGGCCCAGACUCCUACGGGAGGCAGCAGUGGGGAAUCUUGCACAAUGGGCGAAAGCCUGAUGCAGCGACGCCGCGUGCGGGAUGAAGGCCUUCGGGUUGUAAACCGCUUUCAGCAGGGACGAGGCGAAAGUGACGGUACCUGCAGAAGAAGCCCCGGCUAACUACGUG